rnacentral:misc_RNA from 1 species
GCUACUACCGAUUGAGUGAUCCGGUGAAUUAUUCGGACUGACGCAGUGCUCAGAUUCUGGACGUUGCGUUGGAAAGUUUCAUGAACCUUAUCACUUAGAGGAAGGAGAAGUCGUAACAAGGUUUCCGUAGGUGAACCUGCAGAAGGAUCACAAGCGGAAGAGCGUCGUGUAUGGGAAGAGUGUAGAUAUCGGGGUGCGCCGUGUCAUUAUAAAAACAAAAAGAGUAUACAUCGCAUACCUACAGCACACCAACAACACCUAAACUACGUCAUCACAC